AAAUAUUCCAAGCAGAAUUGCUUGUCAGAAUGUUUCUCAAAAAAAGUUACCGAAGCCUGCAACUGUACAAUGGUCACUUAUCCGGGAAAACCUGGAUAUAGAUUGUGUACAGUGAACGAAAUGAAAACCUGCGUCCAUGAGCAAGAACAAACCUUAUUCAAGGAAGGACUUGCAACGAAAUGUCAAGAAUGUCGUCCAAAUUGUCGGGAUACAAAAUACGAGAUGAAGAUAUCUUCGAGCCCCAUGUCCGAGACCAC